rnacentral:rRNA from 1 species
GAGUUUGAUCAUGGCUCAGAUUGAACGCUGGCGGCAUGCCUUACACAUGCAAGUCGAACGGCAGCACGGGAGCUUGCUCCUGGUGGCGAGUGGCGAACGGGUGAGUAAUGCAUCGGGACGUAUCCUGGAGUGGGGGAUAACGUAGCGAAAGUUACGCUAAUACCGCAUAUUCUGUGAGCAGGAAAGCGGGGGACCUUCGGGCCUCGCGCUCUUGGAGCGGCCGAUGUCGGAUUAGCUAGUUGGUGAGGUAAAGGCUCACCAAGGCGACGAUCCGUAGCAGGUCUGAGAGGAUGAUCUGCCACACUGGAACUGAGACACGGUCCAGACUCCUACGGGAGGCAGCAGUGGGGAAUUUUGGACAAUGGGGGCAACCCUGAUCCAGCCAUGCCGCGUGAGUGAAGAAGGCCUCGGUUGUAAG